UUUUUUUAAACUACAGGUUCAUAUUACUUUGUUUUGUUUUUAAAGAUUUAUUUAUUUAUCUAUUUUGGUCUUUGUGGUUGCCUGAGGACUUCCUUUAGUUUCGGCGAGUGGGGGCUACUCUUCCUUUGGCGCGCAGGCUUCUCAUUUCCGGGCGUCUCUGUCGCGGAGCGUGGGCUCUACUGAGCAGGCUUCAGCAGUUGCUGCUCACGAGCUCUAGGGUGCAGGCUCAGUAGGGGGCACACGGGCUUAGUUGCUCCACAGCCUGUGUGAUCUUUGUGGACCAGGGAUCAGACAAGUGUUCCCUGCACGGGCAAGUGGAUUCUUAACUGCUAGAAAACCAGGGAAGCCCUGGGGUUAAUGUUUAUGAUCCUCAUAAUACAGAUACCUAAGCGGCUGAGUUGCCUGCUUAAGGUCACACCAUUUAUCACUGCCGAGCUGUGGCUGACUCCCGUGAACCCCGAGGCCACUUGUUCCCACUAAAGUGCUACCUUGAAAUGCAGGUGGAUGGGAUAUUGCCAUUUUCAAUCUUUAAUCUUCUGUAUAGGAUUGUUUAGGUAGUUUCUUACCCAAAAGUAAGGGAGAAGACUGUAUAGGUGGCUUUCAUACCUUUUCACUUAGGAGCAGAAUCUACUUGUUAAACAAUUUAUUUCACUUUUUUUUUCAUGUAUUUGGUGCUUACUUACUAGAUGAAGAAGAUCUAGAACGACUUCUCUUUCUGUUCCUCUCAGGAGAUGAUGAUGAACUUGAGUAAGAUCUUUUUCGUGGGGAAGAACCCCUGUGGGACCUGGAGCUGGAUCUUGAUUUCGACCCACGAGAUCUCGAACGUUCUCUGGAACUGGAACGAGAUCUUGACUGCGAACUGGAAGAACUUCUUGAACGCGACCUGGACCUAGACCUUGAACUGGAGGGGGAGGAUGAGCGUGAUGAAGAUCGUGAGUGUGAAGACCGAGACUUUGAACGACUUCGUCUGUUAGAUUUCUUUUUAUUACUAUCUUCUUCUUCACUGGCAUCAAGAUUAUAUUUUGAGAGAUCAGCAUCAUCUUCAUCCUCAUCCUCAUCUAAUUUAUAUUUAGAAAGAUCUUCAUCCUCAUCCUCUUCUCCCUCAGACUCUUUAUCUUCAACUUCCUUUAAAAUAGAUGCAGGACCAACUGCCUUCCCUCUGUAUUUUUUCUUCUUACGUCCAAACUCAUCAUAUUCACCAUCAGAUUCUUCUCUUUCUAUGUAUUCAACAUUUUCUCUUUCAUUAAAACCACCACCAUAUCCUGUUCUUUCUUCCAGUUUAGCAUACUUUGGAGUAUUACACAUAUUACACUCUGAUCUUCUGGCCCAAUUCACGUUACUGCAACUCGACCACAUCUAUUACAGCUAG
rnacentral:lncRNA from 1 species